AUACUUACCAAUUCACCAAUUCGAACAUUCCAUGAACCUAGAAUCACCAAAUUUUAUAUUAAAUAUUAAAAUUCAAUAUUCAGGUUUGACUGAAACAGCAAAUAUUAACGAGGUAAACCCUGCAUAAAAUUCGACUCAAAACUCUUUGGUAUAUUCGCAUGCUGUAUGUAUAUUGGUGUACUUCAUGCGAUACUCUAAGGCAAUCUUACAAAAAAUUAAUGGCUAUGACGAACAAAAAAAUGAGCUCAAUGAAAAUGAAAAGUCGCUGCGUAACUCCCGAGCCCCGCGAAAGGCGAAACAAAACGAAUAAGCAGUGAAAGCGAGUGGAUGGGGAUGGAAGGAAGAAAGUUUGAAAUAUAUAUGUAUAGGAAUAAAGCACGAGUAAUCAAACAAUGAUGAUGCGCAAGAAUUCACAUUUUCAAAAUGGAUGAACGGGCAAAUGAAUGAAUUAUAUGUAAAUAUGCGUCAAAUACACCCCAAGUUACGGAA